UGCAGCCGAGCGGUAGAGAUUCUUCGGAAUCUUGAGAGCGGCGUACGGGUGCGGAACACGUGUGCAACCUGCCUUUAUCUGGGGGAUAGCCUUUCNAAAGGAAGAUUAAUACCCCAUAAUAUAUUGAUUGGCAUCAAUUGAUAUUGAAAACUCCGGUGGAUAGAGAUGGGCACGCGCAAGAUUAGAUAGUUGGUGAGGUAACGGCUCACCAAGUCCAUGAUCUUUAGGGGGCCUGAGAGGGUGAUCCCCCACACUGGUACUGAGACACGGACCAGACUCCUACGGGAGGCAGCNGUGAGGAAUAUUGGACAAUGGGUGAGAGCCUGAUCCANCCNUCCCGCGUGAAGGACGACGGCCCUAUGGGUUGUAAACUUCUUUUGUAUAGGGAUAAACCUUUCCNCGNGUGGAAAGCUNAA
rnacentral:rRNA from 1 species